CCCUCGAAAGCGAGAAUCGAUUUCAUUUCGCCAGCGGAAGUUUCGAUAUCAAAGUGAGUCUGGCAAGUGGAAUAUCAUAGAAUAUCUCGGCCAUCGUGGAAUAACUUUGCACUUUCGUUACACGCCUUUUCUCUUAUCGACCAGGCAUAAAUCCUCAGCGGGACAAUAAUAGGGGAACGGGGCCGAGGACCACGCGUCACCCUUCCAGAGAAACCCUCUAAACAGAUUCGUAUCUGACUGUAAAAACGCAAACAGUCGUUUCUCAUCGAGGAAACGUAUCCCCCUCAUCGUGUAUAUUUCAACCGACCGAAUCGAACCAGGAUCGAAUCUUCUUCUAUCCACGUUCGAAUCU